rnacentral:rRNA from 1 species
AUGCAAGACCAAUGUUGGACGGCCGAUCGCCUAGCCAGUCAUGGCCUCCCCCAUGAGCCUAAGUGCGCCUUAUGCAACCAAGUGGACGACACGUUGCAACACUUGCUGGUGGGCUGCUCUUUCUCGCGACAAGUUUGGCAUGAGAUCCUAGGAUGGGUUCGCUCCACGGCCAACCUACCCAUUGACGACAUAGAUUUCCAAUCCUGGUGGGCUGCUACCUGUGAACGUGCAGUUGCGCCCGCUCGCAAGGGGUUGGCCUCUCUCAUCACCCUCACCACUUGGUGGCUCUGGAAGCAUCGGAACGGCUGCAUCUUCGGCGGUGAUCAACCUUUGGUCACUCGGCUCUCCUCCAUCAUCAAAGACGAGGCGCACCUUUGGGUGAAAGCCGGCGCCACUAGCUCCAUUGGUCUCGGGGAUGAGCAACCCCAUCUGUUUGCUCUGCACUCUUUACCAUGCCUUCAUGUGUACAUGGGUUAG